CAACAAGCUGGGGGGGCCCUUCCCAUACAACGUCAUAGACCUCAAGCAGGUCGUCUUCCUCGACCUCCGCUACAACGGCUUCUACGGGCUAGUGCCUCCCUCGGUCUUCACCCUCGACCUCGACUACCUCUUCCUGAACAACAACCCCUUCAACACGCCGCUGCCCAAGAACGUCGGCCUCACCGUCGCCGCCUUCCUCACCCUCGCCAACAACGGCUUCACAGGUCCCAUCCCCAGCAGCAUCGGCCAGGCCGCCAACACGCUGGAGGAGGUGAUCUUCCUCAAUAAUCGCCUCUCCGGCUGCCUGCCCUACGAGAUCGGCCUCCUCCGGCGGGCCACCGUCUUCGACGCCGGCAGGAACCUUCUCACCGGCCCCAUCCCGCUCUCCUUCGGGUGCCUCAAGAAGGUGGAGCAGCUCAACCUCGCCAACAAUCGCCUCUACGGGAAGGUGCCGGACUCCGUCUGCCAGCUGCCCCGCCUGCUCAACCUCUCCCUCUCCGACAACUUCUUCACCGAGGUUGGCCCCUCCUGCUUGAAGCUCAUCUACCGGGGAGUCCUCGACGUGAGGAACAACUGCAUCCCCGGCCUGCCCCAGCAGAAGUCGCCGGAGGAGUGCGCCGCCUUCUUCGCCGUGCCCCGGACUCACUGCCCUAACGUCCUCAUCGUCCCCUGCGAGACCCACAACGACGGCGGCUGCAACCCUCCCGCGCUGCCUCCCGCGCUGCCCCCCGCGCUGCCCCCCGCGGCACCGGAGCCCACCGCGCCGGCGCCGUCGAAGAUCUACUCCGUCCUCAACCGACGUCUCCUCUGAGGGUUCUCCGUUCUCCCCCGUGGAUCGCUCUCGUGCCCCCCUCCUCUCCCCCUCGUCGCCGCCCUGGCCGCGGAUUCAACGUGCAUAAUUACCUCCCCGUAAAAGUACACGCUUUGUUCCACCGAUCGCCUUCUCUCUCCGAGAAGGAAAAGCCGUCGGAAUCAUAUCAUCGCAGUUUCUCGCUCCGUACUUAUCAGUGCACUUAUCCCAUCAUCUUACUUAUCAUCUCUCGCGUGGCCUCGUCCUUCUGCAUGGGCGACUGCGGAUCACGUGGGCGGGUCUCUUUCUGGCCAAGCGCGGCGCUGUGGCGCCUCGUAAGCGUCGAAAAAUCGGUGCCUUCUCAGUCCAAGCCUCCAUUUAUUGAAUUCCAGAUUCGAGACAGGACCCAGCCACCCACAUAAAUAAAAAAAAGACACGUGCUGCUGACGCAGCUCGGACCGUGAUCUCAGCAGCUGCACGAGAUUCCCGAUUCGAGUCAAGAGACGGUUCCCCAUAUGUAGAACAACGCCUCUAAGCUGCUGCGAAAGGGGAAGAAAGGCACCUCCCCAGUGGGCGUUGACGGUAUGAACGGAGAGAAAAUCCUGACGGCCGUGGCUCUGACUACUCUUCAAAUGAAGUAUAUCCUUUCAGAAGGCCGGUCGAAACUCGUUUCAUGAUGUGUGAAGAUAACAUAAGAAAAUGAACAAAAUUUAAUUCCCUCCCGUUACUUUCUGGCUCGGGCACAAUAAAGGCACGAAGAAGACCGACCGGCGACAGUUUUGGAUGAACGCUCCUUGCGACCUACCCACCCUCACACAUACCGAGAUCGUGUGAGUCAACGCAGCUCGGACAGUGAUCUGAGCAGCUGCGCGAGAUCUCCGAUUCGCUCCCCAUCCGUAGAACAGUGACUUGAAGAUGUCACGAAGGGGAAAGAACGGCAGCUCCCCAGUCGGCGUCGUAGCGGUUGAGUGUGCGAACGGAGAGGUCAUCCUGACAGCGGCGCUGAGUGUAGGUUACGUUUCCGUAUUCUAAUAAAGUAUCUUAUUCUCAGAGGGGAGGUGGAAAAUCUUUUCAUGAUGCAGAAGGUUAAAAUAGAAAAUGAAAAAAACUUAACUCCUCCCAUUACUUGCUUAGUAGCUCGGACACAUUUUAGACCAGAGGAAGACCGACCGGCGACAGUUCCUGGAAGAACGUCCCCUGUGACUCAUCCUCACGCAUGCUGAGAUCAUCUGACUAAGCAGCAUCCGCAUGAAUACAAAAGUCUUUUCCCGACACACGUUUGGGUCAACGCAACUGGGACCGUGAUCUCAGUAGCCGCACGAGAUUUCCGAUUCGAGUGAAAGAACGGUUCCCUGUUUGUUGAACGAUGAUAGAAAGCUGUCACGAAAGCGAAAGAAAGGCACCUCCCCAGCAGGCGUUGAGGGCGGCACUGAGUGUAAGGGCGGCCGUUUUGUUCGCGAGUAGGGAUUCGUUGUAAUCUUCAGAAGGACGGUCGAAAUUCUUUUCAUGAUGUAUAAGGUUAGAAUAAAAAAUGAAGCAAACUCAAUUCCGUCCCACUGGCUCGGACACAGUUAAGACAUGUGCAAGACCGACGACAGAGCUUGGAAGAAAGUUCCUUGUGACCCAUCCUCAAACAUGUUGAGAUCAUAUGACGAAGAAGCAUCAGUGACCCGAGGAUUGAGAUACGCCGAGGUCACAACCCACCAGCUUGUGGCUGCUUCUCGAGCAAAACUUCCUGGUCUAUCCACUUGCAGCCAUUCUUUCCCGUUAGAAGGAGAAAAAGAGCCGGAUUCAAGCAUCAAGAUCUAGAAAGAGAUAAUUUGAUCAUCAUGCUGAUGACUGCGGAGAAUCCAAGAGUCAAGAAAUUAAACCCAUUUAAAGCCAUAAGAAAGGGCAGCCCGACGUGAGAGAUUUUUACAGAAGAACAAUAAGCAGGAGCAAAGCAACCGAGACUCUCUGGUUUCUCAUGGUGGGUCAACCUGAGAUAAAAACUAUAGNNNNNNNNNNNNNNNNNNNNNNNNNNNNNNNNNNNNNNNNNNNNNNNNNNNNNNNNNNNNNNNNNNNNNNNNNNNNNNNNNNNNNNNNNNNNNNNNNNNNNNNNNNNNNNNNNNNNNNNNNNNNNNNNNNNNNNNNNNNNNNNNNNNNNNNNNNNNNNNNNNNNNNNNNNNNNNNNNNNNNNNNNNNNNNNNNNNNNNNNNNNNNNNNNNNNNNNNNNNNNNNNNNNNNNNNNNNNNNNNNNNNNNNNNNNNNNNNNNNNNNNNNNNNNNNNNNNNNNNNNNNNNNNNNNNNNNNNNNNNNNNNNNNNNNNNNNNNNNNNNNNNNNNNNNNNNNNNNNNNNNNNNNNNNNNNNNNNNNNNNNNNNNNNNNNNNNNNNNNNNNNNNNNNNNNNNNNNNNNNNNNNNNNNNNNNNNNNNNNNNNNNNNNNNNNNNNNNNNNNNNNNNNNNNNNNNNNNNNNNNNNNNNNNNNNNNNNNNNNNNNNNNNNNNNNNNNNNNNNNNNNNNNNNNNNNNNNNNNNNNNUUGAUGAGGACCGAAGAAGCAGAAUGCCAUCCACAUCACCAGCACAUCAAUCCAUGACCAUUAAAGAGUAAUUUCUUGAUUAAAGAUUUAGUUUUUUAUUAAGCGUCAGUGAGGUUAUGAAUAACUUCUUAUAACCCUAGAAACCUGAGAAGGAUCAUUUCGAGAUUUCAUCUUUCAUCACUUCAUGACCUCAUCCGCUGUCAGCCCACCAUCAUCCAUCAUCCACUAGUAAUCUACCACCACCAAUUGUCACCCCCACGGAUCUCCAUUGUAGUUCGUUGUUUGUACACCAUCAAUCACCGUCUGUCACAUUUGUCAGCCCCCCAUCGUCGUUUUCACCAUCCUCCAGCCUUCAGCCAUUGCCUACAGUUUACCAUUUCCAUCCUUAGGUAGUUUAGCCGUUUUACCGCCCGCCAUUCUGCUACUCUGCCGUCUCCCACUCCUUUCUAUCUAGUCCGCUGCUCUGUCAUCUCACGAUUUGCUUUUCAGCCUCUCUGCCCAUUGCUCUGCUUCUCCGCCGCACUCUUUAUCCUGCCGAUCAUCCGUCCCACUCCUUGACCCAUUUCAUUGGAAUGGAUUAACAUCCACUGGUUCGUGAUUCAUUGAUUCGCCAGACCCAAAUUCACUCUGGGUCUGCUAGACUGGAGUCGGACUUGAUUGGUCAAACCAAAAUCCGAUUAGUUUCGCCAACUGGCCCAUAUCCAUCAGACUAAGAAUAGGCCCAAAUCUGUGCAGCCCAAACAUGCCUAGAUCUGCCAAAUCCAAACCAUUUAGAUCCUUCUAGCCUGUGUCAUUUAGUGAACCCUAAAGCAUGAACCGUUGAUUGAUUCCACCAUCUUUGGUCAAUAUUCAACAAUCACCCAUCAACACUUGGCUAACGAAUAACAUUUAAGGAUUUUAACUCCACGAGUUGUACCAUUCCCCAAACCUACGCCCAUUCUAGUGUCAAGGUAAUAUUUGAAUCCUCUUUCUUAUUGUAUUUGAGUAUCUUGCUAAUAUGGUAUAUGAUCUCUGAAAUUGAUGUUGGGUGAUCUGUAGAUAUAUCCAUAUAUUAUCAUUAUUAGUGGACAAUGUUAUGAAAAUCUCUUGAUUUGUAACAAGUUAAUCUAUUGUGAACGGAGCACCCUAAUAAUUAAUUCUUUAAUUGUGCCAGUCUAAUCCAAUGCAAUUCAUGUAAGAUAACAGUCCUAGUUAACUUUGCUAGACUUAUAACCCAAUGUGAGAGUUAUUCCAAGUUCAUUGUUUAGGAUAAGUCUAAUCAUUUUCAUCUCAUCCCACACCAAUAUAUAUGAUUAUGAAACAAGUGUGAUCUUUUUUUUCUUGGAGAAGUUUCAUUUCUUCUCGCCAAUCCUCUUUUUUGGUAAAUUUCUCAUGAUGCUCCAGUUUCAAACUUUCUAGGUCACGUUUACAUUAUUCAACAACUUUGAUCUAGAAAUGUGUCAACUCUAGUGGUUAGGUUUUCUAGAAAGGAUCUACAACAUUACAAAAGGCAAUCAAAUGAUCUUGAUAUUAAUUUAGAGAGGAGAAACUCUAACCCUAAAAACAAAAUGUAUUCGCUUCUUUCAUCCAUGUUUACAUUCUAUGAAUGGAAAAAUUAUAGCAACAAAUUUAUCUAGACAAAACAUAAGAUAAUUAAAUGUACUAUGAAUUUUUGUACAAAACCAAUGGUCAAGUAAGCACAUGUUGGUUGUGAAAUAAAAAUAUUAACUUGGUGAGCUAAGUAUGGGAGUUUGACCUUGACCUGAUCCAAAGAGGGAAAACUCAAUUGAGCUUUUUCAAGAUUAUUAAGUAUCAUUUGAGAGGAUCAAAAUAUAAAGCAUGGUUUGAGCACUAGCCACUUGAAUGCCCUUCACAUAUGAUCUAGUCAAAAUUUAUAUUUCUAUUUUCUUUACCAACUUCCUAUUUUCUUCUAAAUUACAUAGCAUAUUUUAAAAAAUCAAUGGUAAAAGAAUCACAAUGGAGAUACAACCCCAUUAAGUAUAUCACAAUAGAUAUGAACUAAGGAAAGGAGGGGCAUAAAGCUUGAAAGUUUAUGACGCAGCAAUAAAGUGGAAGAUAAAUAAGAUUUGGGCUUGAAUCCACAAAGCUAUAAUCUUGGAGAAGAAAUCAACCUCUGAAUCUACAGAUUUGAAGUCUUCAAUUCUUGAGUUCACAAGGGAGUGCCUGAAUCCAUAAGUAAAAGGGAAAGGUUCUCAUAGGGGAAAAAACUGAUUUAACUCAAAAGUAAGUCUCUCAAGUUACAAUGAGAGCCUUUAUAUAGGCCUAGAAAGGGGGUGGGGGUGCUCACAAAAAGAGGAUCUUGACAGAUCAUGGGGACAGAGUAUGACUAACAUUGAAAUGACUUAAAGUAGAUUAUGAUAGAUUGAGAUCUUGAACAAAUCUUUUGAAAAUACUCUAACUAACUCUAAAGUGACCUAAAGUAAGCUUUGACAAGUAGAUAUACUGAGCAGAUCUUAAGUACAGACUUUGACAGUCUGAUAUCCUUAGCAUAUCUUGGGUAUAGACUGAACCACAUUAAAGUCCCUUUUAGAAGGAAAGAGACAUAAAGUGCCUUCUAGAAGUGAAAGGACAUAAAAUAGAAAGUAAAUAUUACUUUUUGGACCUCUAGCCCACUAGUGACAUAUGUGGGCUCUCUCUUUACUACUUUUCACUUCAUGGCCCAAAUUUAGGAUAAUUGGGCCCAACUUCAAAGUUAAGACUUCAACUUGUGUCUUGAGUUACAUCAGUCUCUCCUUCAAGAAAACUCAUCAUCGAGUCUUCAUUUGAAUAUUUGUAAUACUCGUAUAUGUCACUGACAUUAAAUGUGGGUGAAAUAGUCAUAUUUGGUGGGAGCUCAAUAAGGUAUGUAUUAUCAUUGAUCUUCUGUAGAACUUGAUAUCGUUUGUAUUUCUUUGGCUUCAACUUGUUGUAGCUACUUGUUGGAAAUCAUUCUUUGCAAAGGUACACCAUUACUUUGUCGCUAUCUUCAAAUAUCUUCUUUCUUCUUUUCUUAUAUGUUGCUACUUUAUAUUUCUUAUAAUUUGUUGUGAGAUUGUGUAUCACACUUUCAUGAAGUGUUUUGAUAUGAUCCACCAUAUUAUUUGUAAUAAUAUUAGUUUCAAUUGAUCUUGGUACUUGUAAUAGUUUCAAUGGAAUUCUUGGAGGAAAAUAAUAUACUAUUGAAAAUAAAGAUUUGUUAGUUGAACGAUUAAUCAUCGAAUUGUAAGCAAACUCUGCUUGAGCCAAAGCAUAAUCUUAUUAUUUUAACUUUUCUCCUGAAAUAUAAUGAAUCAAAUUGCCAAGAGUUCUGUUCACAACUUCAAUUUGGCCAUCAAUUUGUGAGUGACUAGUGCUACUAAAUUUCAAAAAUGUGUCAAACCUUUUCUAAAGAGUUUGUUAGAAGUGAGAUACAAACUUAGAAUCUCUGUCAGAUGUAAUUGACUCAGGAAUUCUAUGUAGACAAAUAAUUUCUUUGAAGAAGUGAUUGGCUACUUGACUUGUAUCAUUUGUCUUUUUACAUGCGAUGAAGUGUGCCAUUUUCAAAAAAUCUAUCAACGACAACGAAAAUUGAGUCAGCUCUUUUUUGUGUUCGUGGUAGACCUAAUAUAAAGUUCAUAGAAAUAUCAACCCAAGGACAUUGUGGAAUCAGCAACGGUGUAUAUAGUCUAGUAUUUUGACUAAUACCGCUCUUCAACUGUCUGUAAUGUCUUAUCUUGACCAAGGUGUCUUGUUAAACCUGAAGAGUGUAAUUCUCAUAUAAGUUUCUCCCUUAAAGAGUUACGAGGAAUAUAUAACUGUGUUUCUCGAAAUAAGAAACCAUCAUGUAAAUGAAAACCCUUAGUUGAUAUUCCUGACAUACAUAUCAUAUAUUGUUGAGAAAAAUCAUCAUCAUCUAGGAAUAAUUCUUUGAGAUAGUCAAAUCCUGUGAUUUCAACAUGUAAGUUCACCAAAUAUACUGUUUUUCUACUAAGCACAUCUACAACUUGAUUUAGUUUCCUUGACUUGUGUUUAAUAACAAAAGUAAAAUGUUGAAGAAAAGAGAUCUAUCUGGUAUGUAUUCUAUUAAUGGAAGUUUGACUAUUGACUAAUUUAAGAGCAUGAUGAUCAAUAUAUAAAAUAAAUUCUCACUGAAUCAAGUAAUGUUCCUAUGUUUGUAAAGCACGAACCACGACAUAAAAUUUUAAUUCAUAUGUUGUUCAUUUCUUUCUUACCUCAGAAAGUUUUUCAUUAAAAAAUGUUAUUAGCCGACCUUCUUGUGAUAGUACACCUCCAACACCAACCAUAGAUGCAUCACAUUCUACUUCAAAUAGUUUAUCGAAAUUUGGUAGGGCCGAAAUAAGAGCAGAACAUAAUUUUUUUUUAUCAUUGAAAAUACUUUAUUUGCUUCAUCAAUCCAUUUAAAACUAUCUUUUUUCAUACAUUCAGUAACUGGAAAUAUUAUUAAGCUAAAAUUUCGUAUGAACCUUUUAUAAAAUGAUGCCAACCCAUGAAAGCUUCGAACCUGAUGAAUUGUGAUUGGUGUUGACUAAUCUUUAAUAGCUCUGACCUUUUCUUCAUCCACUUUGAUUCUAUCUGUACUUACAAUAUAUCUCAAGAAUAACAAACUAGUAGUCAUGAAGUCACAUUUUUUCAAGUUAAUAUAUAAUUCAUUCUGUUGUAACACUUGAAACACACAUAUGAGAUGUUUAAUGUGUUCUUCUUCUGUAGUACUGUAAAUAAGAAUGUCAUCAAAAUAAAUAAUGACAAAUUUACCAAUAAAAGGUUUCAAAACCUAAUUCAUCACUCUCAUGAAGGUACUAGAGGCAUUAAAUAAAUCAAAGGCAUGAACAACCAUUCAUAAAGAUCUGCCUUAGUUUUAAAUGUAGUCUUCCAUUCAUCUCCUGGCCAAAUUUGGAUCUGAUGAUAUCCGCUCUUUAAAUCAACUUUUGAAAAAAUUUUAGAACCACAGAGCAUAUCCAACAUGUCAUCUAGGUGUGGAAUUAGAAAUCUAUGUUUAACUAUUAUUUUGUUAAUAGCUCUGCUAUCAACACAUCUGUCAAUUUUUAUCUUUCUUUGGAACUAGUAGAGCAGGCACAAAGUAUGAGCUCAUACUUUCUCUUAUCAAUCCUUUAUUUAAUAAUUCUUCUACUUGUUCUUGAAGAAUUUGAUUUUCUUCUAGAGUCAUCCUAUAAUGUGGAAGAUUUGGCAAACUUGCUCAUAGUAUAAGAUCAAUAUGAUGUUGUACAUCUUGCAUUAGUGGCAGAUGAGUUGAUAGUUCUUGAAUUACAGAAAAUUCAAAUAAGAGAUUUUCAACAGCUUUUGAUAUCCUAUUUCCGAUUAUCAUGUUUGAAUUAAGUUUUUGAAUAAUAACAAAUAAUACAGUAUUAAUAUCAAACUCUUUAAGAAACUUUGUCUAGUUGAUGAACAUUACUUUUCUUCUCUCUUUUUUUCCUUUGCUAAAAUCACUAUCUUGCAUUUGUGCCAAAACAAAUUUUUUACCAUUUCUAUAGAAAAUAUUAAUAUUUUCCUUACCACGGUGUGUAACAUCAACAUCAAAUUGUCAUGGUCUGCCUAAUAUCAUGUGACAAGUAUCCAUUUCAACAACAUCACAUCGCACUUCAUCAGAAUAUGUUUUCUCAAUUGAAAAUUUGAUCAAACACGUCUCUGAAACUUAAGUUUUUGUUUCCUUUUUGAUCCAACCAAUUCGAUAUGGAUAAGGGUGUGGCCUUGUUUGCAAACCUAAUUUUUUAACCAUUAUAGAGGAGACAAUAUUUUUAUUACUGCUACUAUCAAUAAUUAUAUCACAUACCUUAGAAUUCAUUGUGCACCUUGUUAUGAAAAUGUUAUGGCGUUGUGGAUCUUCUUCUCUUUUUGGUGAAUACAUCAAUCUUCUCACUACAAGUGAAUGUGAUAAUGUAUCUCCAAUAUCAAAUUCAAUAAAAUUUUCUUCUUGCUCACCUUCAAUUUCUGAUUCUUUAUAUUUUGUUUGCUCUUCAAUAGAAUCUAUAAGGUUUACUAUGUCACGUUGAGGAUAGAUAUUUAAUUUAUGUCCUUUUUCUCCACACCUGUUGCAUUUAGGAAUGACAUUAGAAGUAUAAGGAUUUUUAUUAGAAGAGACUUGGGCAGUAAGAUUUGCUCCACUUGAUCUAACAGAACUUUAAUUCAGUCGCCUGUUAUGAGGUAUAGAAGAAAAAUCAGUAAAUCUUCCUCUUUCUAGCUGAGUUGAAUUCUAAUUUCCAAAAUUUCGAAUUCUAGUUUUUCCUUUCUCUAAUAAGGCUUCAGCACAUUCUGCAGCCAUUACAAUAUCAUUGAGCUUGAAAAUGAUUGUAAAGCUACUUUAUCUUUAAUUUCCCAUCUGAGACCACUUUUAAAUCUUAAAAUCAUAUAUGACUGAGAUUCUGUCAUGUCAAUUCGAGAAGAUAAAUGAUAAAAUUCUUCAACAUAAUUAGAAACUAAUCUAUUUUCUUGCUUACAAUUUUGAUACUGUUGAUAUAAAAUGUGUUUAUAAUCUAGGGGAAGAAAAUGAGAUUUUAAAAGUUUCUUCAUUUUCUCUCAUAAUCGUAUAGGUUCUUUGCCUGACCUUGUACAGGUGGCUUGUAAUUGAUCCUACCAGGCAGAGGCUAUACCCUUCAAUUUAUAAGCCAAUAACUUUACUUAUUUUUCAUCUGAAAUUUUCAUAUACUCAAAAAAUCGUUCUACUUCAACUAACCAGUCUAAGAACUCUUCAAUCUUCAAAUGGCCAUUAAAAUAUGGUAAAUCAAUCUUCAUACGAAAAUCUCGAAAAUUAUCUUCUUCAAAUCUUGAUUUAAAACUUGUAGAACUAGAUGUACAAUGAGUAUUUGAUGAAGAUUCGACAUGAGUGACUUUUUGAGGACGUUUGAUUUCAUGAUCUCUAGGAGGGCGUGAAUGACCCUCUAAUGUACUCAUUCUAGUCAAAAGUUGUUUCAAGGUUUCAUUAAGAUCAUCAAAUUUUUGAUCUAUUCGAUCUUGAAAUAACAGAAAAUCUGACUUUAACAUAAGAGCAACUUCAAGUGAAUCAUCAUCACUAAUAUGAGCAGAUUUACCUCGUGACAUUUUUGAACCUUGACUAGAAUGUUGACUUGCUCUGAUACCAAUUGACGCAAUAGUGACGCAGAAGAUAAAUAAGAUUUGAGCUUGAAUCCACAAAGCUCAAAUCUUGGAGAAGAAACCAACCUCUGAAUCCACAGAUUCGGAGUCUUCAACCCUUGAAUCUAUAAGGGGGUGCCCGAAUCCACAAGCAAAAGGGAAAGGUUCUCACAAGGGAGAAAACUGAUUCAACUCAAAAGUAAGUCCAUUAGGUUACAAUUAGGGCCUUUAUAUAAGCCUAGAAAGGGGGUGGGGGUGCUCACAAAAGGAGGAUCCUGAUAGAUCCUAGGGACAAAGUAUGACUAACAUUGAAAUGACUUAAAGUAGACUAUGAUAGAUUGAGAUCUUUUUGGAAAUACUCUAACUAACUCUGAAGUGACCUAAAGCAAGCUCUGACAAGUAGAUAUACUGAGCAGAUCUUAAGUACAGACUUUGACAGUCUGAUAUCCUUAGCAUAUCUUGGGUAUAAACUGAACCACAUUAAAGUCCCUUUUAGAAGGAAAGAGACAUAAAGUGCCUUCUAGAAGUGAAAGGACAUAAAAUAGAAAGUAAAUAUUACUUUUUGGACCUCUAGCCCACUAGUGACAUAUGUGGGCUCUCUCUUUACUACUUUUCACUUCAUGGCUCAAAUUUAAGGUAAUUGGGCCCAACUUCGAAGUUAAGACUUCAACUUGUGUCUUGGGCUACAUCAGUUUAGCCCACUAAAUGGAUGAAAAAAUCAGUGUUCAUCAUCUAUAGGUUAUAAGUAAAUUAAAAAUGAACCAUAAUAAGAGUCAUGGUUGAGUAAAAGCAAGGGUCACAAAGAUGAUAAGUAGGGUUCAUCUCACAAGUCUCACACAUUCUAUAAGAAUUGGCAUAUGAAAAUUAGGGACAACUCAAGUUGGUCAUUAAUUAUUCACAAUAAAUCAAGAUAAUUUGUGUAUAAUCUCAGUGUAAGAACACAUUAUAAAAUCUUUGAGCAUUAAGCACAAAUAUAAAUGAGCAUGAAAGUCCUUUAGUUAUCCAUAAUAAUCAUCUAGGAGAAAAAGUCAUGCUAGUUCACAUUGAUGUGAGGCAAUUGAUAGUAGACAAUGUAAUCACAUCUUUUAAAUUUGGUUGUGCACAUUCAAUGAUUAGGAAAAUAAGAAAUGAACUUGAUGUCAAUCUCAAACCAUACUCUAAUAACUAAUGAAUGAAGCACAAAGCUCGUAUAAAGUAUUGAAGUUUCUAUUGAUCAAUGAAACCAAAAUGCAAUUAGUGUAUAGAUGGAAAUGUGCAAUAAAAAAAUUAUAUUUUCAUUGCAUAAAAAAUGAAAAUAAAAAUAAGUAAUACCAUAUGAAGAAGUUUUUAAUAUUUACAAUGAAUUUGAAAAAAUGAAAAAGGCAGAAAUGAAUGGAGAAGAUGACAUACUAUAUGAUAAAUAAAUUUGAAAAUAAAAGACCUUCAAUUUAUGCUAGGGAGGAUGCAAAUUAUAAACAUGCAUUAUUGGGUCCUUAUUUGUUUUACUUUUCUAGGGUUGCAUUGUUACCUUCCAGUCAAAAGACUUAAGAGAAUUCAAUGUCAGUCCAAAAACUUCUCCUAACUUUGAUGUUUAAAAAUGUCUUCUUUCAAUAUGACACAAGUUAAUUUCAUGUGUUGGUGGUCUCUUUUUUUUGUUCUCUUUUUCUGCAGCUGAAUUUUCACUUUACAAUCAAUACAUAAUUCCCUAACCCAACCUAAAUGGGUAGACUAAGGUAUAUCGCAAGACACUAUUGGAUGUUGAAUAAUACAUCUUUUGUGUGAAUUUAUAUGUGAAAAGUGCAUGAGUUUCUUUCUCAAUUCAUCUUUAAGAUGAUGAGUUAACUUCUCAUAAUGAUUAUAUAGUGGCUUUAAUAGAAAAUAUUUGAUGUUCUUGUUCUCUUUCUAGGUCAUCCCCCUUAAUAGUUUUUCAUUUUUAGUGUUCAUUAUUGAAAAAAGGUAACAUUUAUCUAUCUCCAUUUUUUCAACCUUUGAUUUAAUGAGUACCAGAAUAUAUUGAUGAUAUAGAGGACUAUGUGAACAUCCAACUUGAAAACCAGAAAAAUGAAUUCAUUUAGUUGCUGUUGAUGUUGAAAAUCUCAACCUUUGAAAUAGUUUUAAAUACCUUGAUAUAUUUGCAAUGAACAUCUGAUGCUAGUUAUACAAUGUGAACAAUCUCUUCAAUCCAUUUGUUGGUGGAACCACCAUUUGAAUGUUUACUCCUCAUGCUAAUUUUAAUCUUAAUUCAAAUACAAGAAACUACUUGGUUGAUAGAUAAUUCUACACACUUUUUAAGUGCUUUCUCUAGCCUCAAUAAACAUAUUUCUUCUAGAAGAACUAUAAUCUACAAUAGGUGUCAAAGCCCAUAGUAAGUGACAACAUAUUUUGAUCAUAAUAUAAUAUAAUCACAACAUAUUUGGAUCAUGCAGUCCAUAAAUGCAUAUGACUAGUUACACAAUAUUUUUUAUAUCACAUCAAUAUGGGGUAUUGGAUGUGAUAUUAAUAUGAAUAUAUAUGUACAUGAUUGUAUAUUAUGACAUUAUAGUUAAAUUGAUUUAUUAACUAUUAAGGAUUUAAAAUUAAGGUAUUUAAUAUUAGUAUGAGUUAAAUAUAAUUAUAUAUAUUAGGUCAUAAUUCUAAUUUUAUGAUGAUUAAAGUUGAAAAGUACACUAAGAGUCAGUAAGAACCUCUUGUUUAUGUUGGGUUUUGGCUUGCACUAGAUCAAGCAAAGGGGAUUGAAUUGACGUCAAUUUCCUUUUUAUAUUAUCUCUCUUAUGGUGUUUAUCCAAUUUUAUGACUAUUUAUUCUUUUUUUGACUUUAAAGAGCUUAUCUUUUUAUAAUGAUUUACACAAUUCCUAUGUACACUCUCUAAGAACAAAUUACUUAUUAAGUUUUACUUUGAAUUAGGGAACACCCAAUUAUAAUUAUAAAUUUUACAAGCAAGUUUAACUCACAGUUUGGAGAGGACUUCUCUAGAGGUACAUAAUGACUUUGAGGUUCAUUCAAAGUAACAAUGAGAAUAUUAGCUCUUAGACGUAUUUGAGUUCUUAACAUGAGAUAGUUGGUCAUCGAUACAGUUCACUUUAAAUGAAAAAAUACUUAAUGAACACCAUAAAUAUGUUUUCAGUAAAUGCUUGAGUAAAUACUUUGGUCAAGCUUGAAUUGCCUCUAUUUCUCUCAUAGAUUUUUUUUUCACUAAUUUCACAUUAUGUUGUUUGUACCCAAACACUUUUUUUUGUAGUCAAUGGAUAUAGACAUAUGUCUAUAUAUAUAUAUAUAUAUAUAUAUAUACAAAACCUUACUAGUUGUAGAUGAAUCAUCUAGAAGAAAGUCUUUCAUAUCUCCAACANNNNNNNNNNNNNNNNNNNNUAUAUAUAUAUAUAUAUAUAUAUAUAUAUAUUUCAUUCAAAACCUUACUAGUUGUAGAUGAAUCAUCUAGAGAAAGUCUUUCAUAUCUCCAACAUCGUUAAUAAUUACUUUUCAUGAAAAAUUAUUUAUCUUAAUUGAAAUAUAUUUUGUAAAACUAUUGGUCUCUAUGAUUAAAUCAUCAUUUUUGUAUGUGUUUCGUGAAAAUUUGAAAUAGUUAAAUAAAAAUUCAAUAGACUAAAUGCAUAAGCCAAUGACACAUAAAUUAUUCACAUAAAGAUUUUAAUACUCAUGUUUUUACUAAGUUGUUUGGCAUCCAUUUCAUUCUUAAAUAUACAUCUUGAAUCAAUGUCAUUCAUUUAUAAUUCAGCACAUGAAAAAUGAUUUUCUAAGUUAAAUACUAAAAGAUUCAAAAUUUUAUUUUUAAUAUAAAAAUAAUAUUAAUUAAAUUGAUCAUUUUGAUGUUGAAAAUAUUGAAAAGUAAUGAUCAAAUACCAUAAAUAUUUAAUAGACCUCAUAAAUAUCAUGCCCAUAUCUUGUUUUUGGUAGUCUCAAUAAUUUGAGUGUGAUGUUUUCAUUAUUUUCUCUCAAUGGUAUAAUAUAUAAAUAUUAGCACAUUCCAAUGAGACCUAACCUCAAGUGCACGGCUUACAAAAAGUUCAGUUAGGUUUACUUUUCCUCAUUUUUUUGCUUCAUAUGAUUUUGUAUUACUUAUGUGAUAUCAAAGUGUUGCCAUCGAAAACCUUCCCUAAUUAACAAAAUGUUCUAUUACUGAAAAUUGAAAAAUCAGCUUUCAAGGUCUCGUCACUUCAGUGAAUCACUUGAAUCCUGAUAUAUUUUUAGUACCUUGGAGCUAGACUAUUGUGUUAUUAUGCUUUCUUCAAAAGAUGGUUGCAAGAGUAAGAUAAUUUUCAUGUAGUGAAAGUCAAUUGUUUACACAAGCUGGAUAUUACUGUUAAAAUGGUCCUUAGAUAAAAUAUGGUGAAACAUACUUUUUGGCGUCCCAUUACUUCAAAAGAGAGUCAUAAUGUGGAUGACUCAUUCGGGUUGAUCUAAAAAACUACAAUGGAAUCAGAAUGACAUGAAAUAUGUCUUCUCAUAGCAUUCACUAUUAUUACACUUAAUGAUUGAACACUAGGUCUAGUGCAAGAAAAAUAUUUCUUUUGAAAUAUCUAUAAUUUGGAGCAAGAGCUAGAGCCCAUAAAAAAUAAUUAUAAGAUAUUUUUAUCAUGACACAAUAUAAUCACAACAUAUUUAGAUCAUACUACACAUAUGUGGUGCAUAUGACUUGUGAGAUGAUAUUUUAUGUAAAGCAUUAAUGUGUGGUUGUUAGAUUUGAUAUUAAUGUAAACAUAUAUCUAUAUAUGAAUUAUAUAUUAUGGGGGAACAACUUAACGAAGAGAUACAUAUCAGAUCAAGGUUGAAUCAUAAUCAUUUCUAGAUGACUUAUAAUAACACACUUUAUGAUCAUUUUUCUUGAUUAAAUGUUAGAUCUAAAAUAAUAAAUACAUUUCUUAUGAAAUACUUACGAUCUAAGCAAGGGUCAAAGGCCAUGAAAAAAUAAGUGGCAACAUAAUAUGAUCACAACAUUUUGGAUCAUAUUAUCAAUAGGUGGUUCAUAUGACUUGCCAGACUAUAUUAUGUGUAUCUCAUCAGUAUGGGAUUUUUCAUAUUUGAUAUAUAUAUAGACAUAUAUUAAAACUUAUAAUUAAAUUAAUAUUUAUUAAAGUGAUUCAUUAAGUGUAGUGUUUAGUAUUAAGAUGUAAUAUAAUUUUAGGUUAAAUGCAAUUAUGUGUAUAGAUCAUGUCAUAAUUUUAAUGUUAUCAUGGGUAAAAUUAGAAAGUACAACAAGAGGUAAUAAUCAAUUCUAGUCUUGGUAUAAACUGGAUCUAAAUUGAAAAAAGGUAAAAUAUUUAAAUGUAUUUUGUUAGAUCAAUCAAAAUGCAUGAACAAAGUAUAAGAUGAUGACUACUAUGUUCACGCAUAAGAAAUUAAAUCAUUUGUGAAGAAUAAUGUAUGAACUCUAGUACUGAAGAAAAAUGAAAUGCUUGUCAUAUAAACCAAAUGGAUAUUUAAAAAUAAAUUGAAUAAGGAAUGAAAAUUUUUAGUAAUAAAGAUAGACUAGUGGCUCAUGCUACACUCAAGUAAAAGUAAUAGACUAUAAUGAAACCUAUGGACAGUGGUAAGGCUUAGAUGCAAUUGGAUUUUUUUAGAAUUUGAAAGCAAUAAAACUAUUAUUUUGUAUCAAAUAGAUGUGAAGGAUGUCUUCCUUAAUCAAUAGAUUAAAGAUAUAAUAUAUGUUUGUUAGCUUAUAGGAUUUAUAAAGUCUAGUCAUCUUAGUCAUAUUAUAAAACUAUCCACAAUGUUGUAUAAACUCAAACAAACUUAUAAAUCUUACCAUGAAAUGUUACUGUUUUUCUUUUAGAGAAUGAUAUUAAUAAUAGUGUGAUUGAUACUAUUCUAUUUAGAAAAUAAGACAUUAGCAUAAUCAUAUCAUUCAAGUAUAUGUUGACGAUAUAGUCUUCAAAUCAUUUGAUGAAUCAUUGUGUUGAAACUAAGAAAUCAUGAAGAAAAAAUUUGAUAUUAGUCUAAUGACAUAACUAAGUUACAAAGUAAAUAAUCAAAUGAUUGGAUGCUAUUCUAUUUAGAAAGAAAAACACCAAUUCACACUCAUCAUUCAAGUAUAUGUUGAUGAUAUAGUCUUCAAAUCAUUUAACGAAAAUUUAUGUGUUGAAUUCUAUGAGAUCAUGAAGAAAAAAUUUGAGCUUAGUAUGAUGACAUAACUAAACUAUUUUAUUAGGUUCUAAAUUAAAUACAUAAAUGAUGGGACACUAUUAUAUUUAGCAAAAAACACUAACAUAUAUAUUCAUCAUUCAAGUAUCAAUUGAUGAUAUAGUAUUUAGAUCAUUUGAUGAAAACUUGUGUUGAACUUUAAUGGAUCAUGAAAAAAAAGAAUUUGAGCUUAGUAUGAUGGGAGAACUAAACUAUUUUCUUAAGUUGUAAAGUAAAUCGUUAACAUCUAAUCAUUAACAUCUUAAGAGUCUAGAAACCAAUUUCUUAGUGAAAUUCAAAGAAAAUUAACCCUAGUAUUCGGUUCUUAGAGAGUGAAUUUUGGCAAUCAGAAAAAAUGAUAUAAAAUUCAUCACUCUUAUAUCCAUAUACUUAGGAAGAAUAUAGUAAUCAAAAAGAUAAAGAGAAGAUCAAUUUAUACAAAGAGAUAUUAUCAUAGUGAUGAUUUAAAAUAGUUCAAUGUGACUCUCUUCUUUGAUCUUAGUGCAGCCAAAAACCCAACAUCAUCUUGCUUCAAAAUUAAAGUCACUCAAGUUAUAGUUAUAUGAUUAUUUAUUUGUAUAUUUAGUUAUAAUUUCUCUUAUUACAUAAUUCAGUCAAUUUUAUAAAAGCUAUAAUUAUCAGGUAAACAAAAUAAUAUUUUAAUUAUGUCAUCUCACAUAAUAUAUAUGUUAAUGUAUCAUUUUUAUGUGUUAAUCAGAGUUAAAUGAUAAUAAUUAUUACAAUAACUAAUUUAAAAUUUAAUUAAAUAUAAUAAAAAAACACAAACAUAUUUUUAAAAUGAAUGUCAUGAAUUUUGACAUUUAUUAAUAUAUUAUUCUCAAAAAAUAUACAUCUAAUCCUUUGACCUAGAAUCUAGUAUAAAUUCUAAAGCGCAACCUUGAGAAACCUCUUUUUUUCUUAUUUUUAUGUGUUCCUUUCUUAGUUAGCUGUUAUUGGACUAAAUGUAGAAGAUGUAAGACAACUAAUGGACCAGUCACACUAGGCUGAAGUGAAAGCCUAUUAAAAGAUGGUCUCAAAGAAAAUAUAGGAGGAGAGAGAAGUGGGGGGAAGGUCUUGAUGAGAAUGAGAGCACAACAGUGGCUGUGAGCUCACCUACUAUGUGACAGGUAGAGGAGGACUUGAGCAGGGCAAUUGCAAUGGUCAUGAUGCCAAUAGUGAUAGCAGUGGUUGUAAGUUUCCCUCUCAUGUAAUACAAAGGAGGAAUUAAGCAAAAUGGUGAUAGAGUCAACCUAACUCUAUUCCUUCCACCUAUACUUAAGUUCACUAUCUCGAUUGAUAGACAUAAACAAAAGAGUUGUAGAAAAAGAAAAAUUUUAUAUAAUGAUUUAUUUAUUUUAUUUUCUAUUUGUAUCGGUUUCUAUUUUAAGAUCAAGUCAUGUGAGUGAUACAUGUUGACAUAGAUUAGUUUUCUUGUUUUUUGUAGAAUUAGUUUUGAGAAUUUUCAUUUUUAUCUAUAGUUGUAUUUUCAUCAGUUAUACUUGAAUGUUGUUCAUGAAAUAUUUUAAUUUAAAUACAUAUUCACAUGUGCAUAUUUUUUAUUCUUCAUUUUCCCUUUACUUUAUCAUAGCUAUUUCUUGUUGAUAAAUAUGUAAUAGCAACAACAGAAAAUUAGAGAAAACUAUCUUUUAGAGUCAUUUUACCCUCUUUUCUAUUUGCAAGGUAUUUGAUGAUAAAAUUUGAUAGUAAGAAAUUGAUAAUAAUCUAUGAGAACCUACCCAAACUGCUAGAAAUAUAAAUUGAUUUUUAAGUUUUUAGUUCAAAUAUAAAUAUUAUAGUUGAUGUAUUUUGUUGCACAACUAAAAUAUAAAUAGUUUGAAAACAUUAAAAAGAAUGAAGUAAACGAGAUUCAAAAGUGUUCAUUUAAUCUAUGAUGAGAAAGUUAUUUUUUUAUUUUCUAGCUAUGAUGGACACAAAAAGAAGGAUAUCACCAAACAUCAUACUUGACACACAAAGAAAGGCAAUCUUCUCACUUUGGUUUAUUUAGAUGCUCAUUUAACUUAUGUGAGCAUAUAUAGUGGAUAGAGUUUGAUGCUACUAGUCACAUAAAUGUGCCUCUAUAGAGUUGAUUUUUCACUAUCAAAAGUCAAUUGAUAGUGAAGAUAUAUACAUACAUAUAUAUACAUAGAUAUGUAUAUAUAUAUACAUGUAUAUAUAGAUCAAUGUAAUAAAAAUUGAGCCAAUAUAGGUUCAAGCUAUAGUCAAAGAUUCCUCAAUAUUUAAACUUAAAUUAAACUUAUGUUAUAUGUUUUUUAGAAAGAAUUUAUUUUUUAAAAUUUAUAUAAAUUUCAUUAUUUUUAUUUAUUUACAUAUUAAAUUUGGUUUAUUUUAAAUUUCAAAUUACAUUGGUACUAGUUCUUAUCUCUAAAAUGAAUAUGUAUAUUUUUCUGACAUUUUAGUCAUAUUUAAUAAAACUUAAGAAAUAAGUUUAAGGAGUAUGAAAUAUAAAUUAACUUAUGAAAAAUUUUCUUUACUUGGCACAAGUGAUUAUGUCAUAUCUCUAAAAUAGAAUUAAAAGACAUGUUUGAAGUAAUUUUGAACUAGCCGAACAAUAAAUAUUUUAACAUGUGGGUCUUAGAUGUCUUAUAAUGAAUUUAUAAAAAAGUUUAUAUCAUUUCUUACAACUUUUUACAAUAAUUCAUAAUAUUUAGUUUCAAUCAUAUAUGAUUAUUCUCAAUAUGGCUAAUUAUAUUUCAUUUAAACAAGUCUCAAUUACUACAUAUGUUCAAAAAACACGAGACCAAAUUUGAGAAUCAACUUAAGAAAAAAUUGAAGGCAUCAAAUUAGAUCAUUGUAAUAAAUACUAUGAUAAACGUAAUAGAUUGGGUGGGGUGAACAAUAUAAUUUUAUUUCAAAGUAGUUUGAUAUCAUUCCUCAAUGUAUCAUACUAGAUAUCUUAGCAUAAAUGAUAUUGUUGAUAAAUGAAACAUGAUACCUAAUGACAUGAUAAAAAAUAUGAUUAGUUAAUUUAUCUUAUUAGAAUUUUUUGAAAAAAUAGUACAUAUUUCAGCUUAUUUACUACAUAAGAUUCCACAAAAAUAACUUUCAAAACCUCUUAUGAGUUUUAGCCAAGCAAGAAGUCUAAGUUAAAAUAUUUGUAUAUUUAUGGUUGUCUUGUUGAGGCAAGAAGUUAAACUAUAAGCUUUCAGCUAUUAUUUAGUUUUGUAUCCUAAAAGCUUGGUUUAAAGUCAUAUAAUCACUUGACCAAGUUUAUUUUUAAAAAGAGAUAUACUUGGGUUUUUGAAGAUGUUGAGUUUGUAAAAAGAUAAUAUUAGACACAUUAUCUUUGAAGAAUAAAAAUAUAUUUAUAUUACUUCAAUUAUUAUUACAAUGAUCAAGAGUAGGUAAUCUUCUUUUACAAUAUUCGAGAGUUAACUUUAUAUCAAAAUAAUAUUAUCAUACCUCUUAUUUCAAAAUUUUAAAUUCAAAACUAUUACUAAUUUGUGUCAAUAAAAAAUCUACUAGAAAAGUGAGAAAUAGAAUUCUAGAUGAGUAUAUUUUAUUUCUCCAAAAAAUGAGGUUGACAUUAAAAUGAUGGAAAAUAAUCUAAUCAACUUUUAUCAGGCUAUGAAAAGUUCUAAUUUUCAGAAGUGGAUUGAUGCUAGGAUUCAAAAGAUUUAUAACUUUCUAAUAUUACCACAUCACAAGCCUUAUGCAAUAGAUUUGAUCUUAUAUAUGUCCCUGUUACACAACAUAGGUCCUCGACAAGAACUCAGACAACUCACCAAAUCACAAAAGCAUGUUUUUUUUAUAAAUAGAUUCGUAUAUGAUUUUAUUAAUACAUAACCACAUGGAGAAGCUUACACUAAUCCAAUGCAAUGAUAUUUUAAAAUCAAAAGAUAUUCAAAAGAUAAUAUUGAGAAAUAUAAACUCAUCUUGCCACAAAUAGAUUUACUGAAAAAUAUUUUAUUAAUGAUAAAGAAACUCUCACUAGAUUCAUCAAAAGAUUCUUUUAGAGUGAUAGAGCUACCAGUUGCUUAUUUUGAUCUCAAUUUAUAUCAGAUAAAUAUAAAAUUAUGUUUCUAAAAUUUAUUAAAUAUUUUUCUAUUAAAUAUUUUGAUGAAGACUAAUUUUUAUUUGACAUACAUUACACAAAGAUGAUUCUCAAAAUAUCCUUAGGGUUAUAAAAAGAACCUAUAUUGAGAAGGUUGUUGAAAGAUUUGACAUAUAAAACUAAGUGGCACCCCUAUCGUCAAAAAAGAAAAUUUAGUAUCAACUAAUACUUUAAAAAUGACUAUGAGGUCAGAGAGAUAGAAGAUUCGUAAUAAAAUAAUCAUAAGAAUUAUUAUUUAUGCUUAAAUAUGUACAUGUUUGGAUAUUAUGUACAUUAUUAGAGUGCUAGACCUAUAUUUAAAUAGUCUAAGAGUUGAUCGCUAAAUAGUCAAAAAGGUAUUUACAGAAAAAUAAAGAACUGCAUACUUACAUAUACAAAAUCAGAUCACUUGGUAUUAUGAUUCUAAUAUUUAUGGAUGUACUUACAGCAAAAGAUCUGCAAAGGGUUAUAUCUACCUACUAACUAUAGUGAUUUUAUAUUAUGGUUCUAAUAAGGCACUUGUAAAUUAUUCUACUAUGACAAAAAAGUUUAUAAGAUGUUAUGAUUCACCAAAUUAUGCAAUAUGGAUAAAUAAUUUUACCAUUGAAUAAUGAAUUUUGGAUGAAAUUGAAAAUUUUAAGGAUAUUUAUGAUCAUAAAUCAUUCAUAUUAGAUUCCAACAAGAACAAAAUCUUGGCCAAGUAUAAGUAUACAUAUAUUGAGUGGCUAGGUGUCUAUAGAGUGCAUUAAGAUAAACUAUACAAUUGUAUGCCCACUCAAUAAAGGAUUGCUACCUAAGGUCUUUUGUGACCAUAUUACUCCAUGUGUAUGAUCUGCCAUAAAGAUUUGUGAUUUUAAUUGGAGUUAUAAUUGUGUUAUUAUAGUUAUAGACAUCCUAUGAUUAUUUUCAGUAUGAACAAAGCUGUGAUUAUUUCUCAUUCUAAAUCUAUUUGAUAGAUCUCCAUAUGGAGUAAAAUUAGACGUUAGAAAUAUAGAUAUUUGAAAACAUUUAUAAUUUCUAUUUUAUGCAUCCAUACAUUGUCUAUGUCAUCAUUAAAUUGAUAUACCUCAGUAUUGAUGGAUUUAGUGACAUACAAAUGUAAAAUGAAUAUUAAUAUAUUGAAAUAGUUUAUGGAUAACAUUUUUAGAUAUGACUUUGGUAAUUGUAGUAAAUAUAUUGAGUUCAUUUGGUCAUAAUAGAAUUCUAAGUAGAUCAUAUUAAGUUUCUUAAGUGUAUGAUUUGACGCAACGAAAUUGUUGGUGAUGACCCUUUGAGUUGAGCGGAUGUUGAGGUUGACAGAAGAUGGGUUGAAAUCACGACUUGAAUCCUCAAAAGUCGAGAUUUCUGGUGAAACCUCUUUGUCUUGAAUCCACAAAACGAAGAAGUUUUUCUCUUAGUGCUCAAGGGCGGAUCCUGAAUCUAUAGAACCAACAAACUAACUCCUUGAGUCCACAGGGAUGCUGGAGUCCACCAACAGAGGGGAGAAACUCUCAAGGAGAAGAAACUCACGAAAUUUUAUUCAUAAAAAAUAAGUUCAAUGCCCUUGGGCUACAUGAGGCAUCCUUAAAUAGGUUAGAGCCUGUGAAAAGGGCCCCAACUUUGAAUUUCAAACGAAAUUUGAAAAUUAGGAAGGAAUUACAUUUGAGAAAGUUUCUGAAAUAGAAAUGGGCUUAAAAUAGAACGAAAUAGACUUUUCUAGAAGGUGGUGUAAAGGCAAGUAACAGUUAUAGAAGGAAAAUGAAUAGAAGAAAGAAAAGAAAUAAAAAGAGGUUUUCAAUAAGGUUAAAUAGAUUUUAGAAGGUGGUGUCUAAAAUAGAAGGGGAAUAAAGAAAGGAUAAGACCUAAAUAUAGAAAGUGUCAAAUAUAGAAAGUGAUCUAAAGAUGGAAGGUCUAAAAAUAGAAAGUGAACGAAAUGUUAGAUGGAUCCAAAUAUAGAAGGGUCUAAAAAUAGAAAGUUCUAAAAAUAGAAACUUCAAAAAAAAUGGAAAAUUGAUCUUCAGGUCUUCGUGUGUUCUGGUCCAAUAGAUGUUAUAUUGGCUCACUGCAUCAUGAUUUUUCGAUUUGAUCUCAAUGUGAGCAUACAUAUAUAUGAAUUGUAAAAAUAGUUAUGACGUCAAGAGUUAAUAAUCAUCCAUUUUAUUUUUUAGGGGCCAUAGUCUUUGGAUCACACAUGGUGUACUCACUUUUGAAUUAUCUUAUCACUCUAAGAGAGAAAAUUACAAUGGAGACUACUAUUUCAUAUUGAUCCAAAAGGCCACAAUCCACAUCUAAGUCAUAAUAGGCUCAAUUAUGUCUUCUAAUAACUCUUGUUUUAUAAUCAUUAUCUUCGACCAUGACAUGGUAUGAUCAUAAAUUUUUUGGAUCAUAUCAUGCAAAAGUGAUGCAUAUGUCCCAUAAAAUGAUAUUUUAUGUAUCACGUCAAAUGGGGUUCCCCUCCUUGUACUUUAAAAAUCCCCUAAUUGAAGGUUACACAACAUUAGAUGAAUGCUAAUUUUUAGCUCCAAACAUCAAUACAAAAGUAUAAGCAUUUUUUGUUCAUUAAUGCAAAAGAGAUGAUUGCUCCUAUUUGUUAAUGCAAAGGCUUUCACUACCCUAAAUUAACAAGAGGAAUGUGUAAUUAGGCAUUACUUGGUGCAUGAAUAGCAUUUCCGUGAAAUCUCUCAUUGCUUUUCAUGUUUGGCAUGUUCACAGGCAACCCAGCAAAACUCAUUGCACUUGGUAGGUUGGGCAUGGCCUACAUUAUUUCACAAUGAGGCUACUUACAAAACUAGAAAGGGGAGCAUUAAAGGGAGGGGGGAUGCAAAAAUGAAAGGACAUUGGCUCUUGAUUGUGUUGUCAGUUCUUAUUCUCUAUUUGACUUGGAAAUGGAAGGUAACACUAAGAUAACUUUCUUACUCAAUUUUGUUCUUCUAUUUUCUCUCUAGUUUUGAACCUUGACGGUGUUUCCCAGUUUUAAAUUAUGCUCAAGUGAUGUGUUGUUUUUUCAGAGAAACUAAUUAGAUAUGCUUCUUCAUUUAAAAUAGUUUGGCGAACAAAGAUUGGUUAUGCUAUCGACAACAACUUUCUAUUUCUUAGAUUUUGAUAUAUUCCUCUACAUCUAUCUACUCAUACCUAUAUGGCCAUCUAAUCCCACACGCUCAAUUUUAUAUUUCUUAUGUUGGGGUGUCUAUUACUUGAAGGAUGAAAAGAGAAUAAAUUUUUGAAAACUAAACCUAUUUGGCUUGUCUGACACGGAAAAGCCAGUCCGGUUCUAAGUUCUCAUCUCGUUUUUGUUUUUUUACUCAGAUUAAUGUUGACAAUGGACGGCCGGGAGUAGGCGUCUCUGGCAUCCUAGGAUGUACUGCCGAUAAGUAUUAAAUCGUGAUCAACGGUCAUCCACUGUUCCCGCCCCCAGCUUCUUCUCCUUCCUCCCUUCUCUUAGUCCCUGGGAAGCCUCUUUCUCCCGGUCCUGCAAAUACAUCAUGAAGGAGACGCGUAGUAGGUUAUCCUGAUAGCAUUGAUAACAGGUGAUGUUGUCCACACCCGGGACGGGCUCCUGUCACCCCCUGGUCGUCCUUGGCUUUUAGAAAUUAAAAAAAAAAAUCAACGUCAAUAACGUCCAAUCGUCGACCUUUCUGCAUUCUCCUCACCCAAUCGUCAACCUCUGUCUUGACGAAAUACAGUAUAUGCUGAAAGGGUUUUCCUGCUGCCACAUCUGUAAUGGUUCGUCGCCACUGUUGACCUACCUGAAACUGCGUGCCACUUGUCGCUUUAAGCAGACUUUCUUUAUGUAUCUCCAGUCCCUCGUUUAUUUGUCCGGCAAAAUUUAGAGAUGGAAACCAUUCUGUAAAGAACGGGUGUUCUAGUUUGACCUCCGGCUCAUCUCAUUACCUUGGCCAGGCUGGACUAGGAUUUUUUCGACCCUAUCAUUGACCUUUUUAGGAGGGCAAAAUAAUCAAGUGUAUAUCGCGGGCGUGGGAUGACGCCAACGUCCACUGGCUACAACGGCAUUGGGAGGGUGGGCUGAUGAACUGCUGCUACGCACGUUGAUAUUGUCUCUCCACUCGUGACCCGCUUGCGUUCGGCUGACGAGGUGUCCAUCGUCUUCGUCCUCUUACCAUGAAAGCUGUCCUCCGCCUUCCUCUUCGCCGGAAGCCGACGGAGGCGGCGCUGUCUAGAGCCCUAUGGUACACGGCGGAGGCAUUAACCCGCUGCCGCCUCAGUGGGCUUCGAGGUUUGGAGGCGGUGACAGCCUAGAAGAGGAGGAUGGUCUUCUUCCUGCGGUGGCGGCGGGGGAAGUGGCGACGAUGGUUUGGUAGGUGGAUGACCGGUAGGGUCCACCGGGGUUUGGCCGACGUGCGGCCGCAAGAUUCGCACGUGGUCGUCGCUCUCGUGAUCACAGGGAGGGAAGGAACUGGUCAAGUUAGGGCUGCCGACGGUGGGACGAUGCCGGGAAGGGCGUUACCGGAGGAUUAGACGUGCUACGCUUCAACCUAGGGGCCAUCUGAAAGCGACGGCUGAACUACCCCGACGGCGGAGUGGGAUGUUAAAUGCCGGCGGGGAGCCCUUGCGACAGUAGUGCAGAUCCCCGGAGAUGGCAGCCGGCGGCGGAGUUUCCUACUACAUCCCGGUGCUGUGCUUUGUCUCCGCCGCGGUGCUCCUGCAGCUGGGGUCGCCGGCGGCGGCCGCCAGCAGGUCGAACCUCGAGAUCGGCAUCGGCGGCAGCCCGCCCUACAACGAGCCCUCUCCCACGCCGCAGUACGAGCCCCCUUCUCCACCAUCCUACGAGCCCUGUCCCCCGCCGGAACACCCGCCACCGCCCCCUCCACCUCCCCCGCCUCCGCCUCCGCCGCCACCGCCACCACCGCCUCCUCCCCCGCCGCCUCCGCCGCCGCCGCCGCGGGAGCUGCAGCCAUCGGACUUCGAAAACACGAAGCAGUACAAGGCCUACAAGGUGAUCCAGCGAUUCAAGAAGACGAUCACCUGCGACCCGCUAGGAGUGACCAAGACAUGGAAGGGAACAAAGAUCUGCAAGUACAGGGGAUUCACCUGCGAUACGCCGCCCAAGACCGGUGACCGGACGAUCGCCGGCGUGGACUUCAACGGGUUCACCCUGGCGGCGCCGACCAUCGGUGGCUUCGCCGACGGGCUCCCCGACCUCGCCUUCUUCCACGCCAACACCAACAACUUCUCCGGCACCGUGCCGGAUCUCUCCAGGCUCCCCUUCCUCUACGAAUUCGACAUCAGCAACAACAAGCUGGGGGGGCCCUUCCCAGACACCGUCAUCGGCCUGAAGAAGGUCGUCUUCCUCGACCUUCGCUACAACGGCUUCCACGGGAGGCUGCCUCCCUCGGUCUUCUCCCUCGACGUUGACUACCUCUUCCUGAACAACAACCCAUUCAACACGCCGCUGCCCAAGAACGUCGGCCUCACCGUCGCCGCCUUCCUCACCCUCGCCAACAAUGGCUUCACGGGCUCCAUCCCCAGCAGCAUCGGCCACGCCGCCGACACCUUGGAGGAGGUGCUAUUCCUCAACAAUCGCCUCUCCGGCUGCCUGCCAUACGAGAUCGGCCUCCUCCGGCGAGCCACCGUCUUCGACGCCGGCAGGAACCUUCUCACCGGCCCCAUACCCCUCUCCUUCGGGUGCCUCAAGAAGGUGGAGCAGCUCAACCUCGCCAACAAUCGUCUCUUCGGGACGGUGCCGGAGUCCGUCUGCCAGUUGCCCCGCCUGCUCAACCUCUCCCUCUCCGACAACUACUUCACCGAGGUUGGCCCCUCCUGCUGGAAGCUCAUCCACCGGGGGGUCCUCAACGUGAGGGACAACUGCAUCCCCGGCCUCCCCAAGCAGAAGUCGCCGAAGAAGUGCGCCGCCUUCUUCGCCAAUAGCAAGUGCUACUGCCCCAACAUCCACAUCGUCCCCUGCGAGACCCACCAAUACGGCGGCAAAUACCCUCCCACGCUCCCCCCCCGGCACCGGAGCACACCGCGCCGCCGCCGUCCAAGACCUACUCCGUCCUCCACCGGCGGCUCCUCUGAUGACUCUCCUUUCUUCCCCGUGGAACGCUCUCGCCUCCCCCACCUUGUCCGCCCUGUCCGCGGAUUGCACGGGCGUAAAUAACCCCCCCCCCCAUAAAGCUCGUCGCUUUGUUCCNN
rnacentral:lncRNA from 1 species